UACGUAGGGCGCAAGCGUUGUCCGGAAUUAUUGGGCGUAAAGAGCUCGUAGGCGGCUUGUCACGUCGGGUGUGAAAGCCCGGGGCUUAACCCCGGGUCUGCAUUCGAUACGGGCUAGCUAGAGUGUGGUAGGGGAGAUCGGAAUUCCUGGUGUAGCGGUGAAAUGCGCAGAUAUCAGGAGGAACACCGGUGGCGAAGGCGGAUCUCUGGGCCAUUACUGACGCUGAGGAGCGAAAGCGUGGGGGAGCGAACGGG
rnacentral:rRNA from 1 species